rnacentral:lncRNA from 1 species
UUCGGAACAAACAUGUAUCAUAUUUACAUAUGAGAAUAAAAACACUGACUUUUGGUUAUCUGAAUAUCAUCUAAAGUAUAAAAAUGUACAUCAAAAAUGUCAGCAACAUAAUGAAAAUGUUUUUUUUUCUCAUGUAUUUGACUUAAAUUCAAUCCAGAAAAGGAGUUACUUACUAAAAAGUUCCAGCUGUUAUCCUUAAUACACAUUCUAUCAGCCCACUUAUGAACUUUUGCAUUUUUUCGAUUUAAGCUCAAGUUAUUUAAUCUACACCACAAACAAAAUAUACUUUUCCACUGCUUAUCAAAAAAUCAAAAAGAUGGUUUUAAUAACACACUCGAGCCAAAUAUGAACAACUCGCAUAAUCUUAGUUUGCCUGGGUUAUAUUAUAAAUAAUAACAAAUUCAAUAAAUCAUUAUUAUUACUAUGCAUAUAUAAUUGAACAUCAUACAAUUACUAUGUAUACAUUAUCCUGAAUACAACAAAACCACCUAAAUGCACCCCUGCAGUAUAUUGAACCUCUUAUUAUAGACCUCUCAUUUAAAAAAUUCUAGCUGUCCUAACUCCUUUACAUAGUAACAAUACUCCAAUAAGUAGUUUGUAUGUAUUUAAAAUGAUGGAAAAGAUAUUUUGAAAAUUUUACUUUGCCAUUGUAUUUUGACCCCCUACCAUGGUAUAUUGAACCCCCUACUAUAGACCUUGAAUUUCAAAAAAUUUAGCUGUUAUAACUUUUUUACAUAGUAAUUAUAUUCCAAUAAGUAGUUUGUAUGUAUUUUACUUGCUUGAAAAGAUGUUUUGCAAAUUAUCUUAGCCAAGAUAUUUUGACCCCCCUGCAGUAUAUUGACCCCCCCCCCCCUUUUGCGGUAUUUUGAACUUCCUAAUAUAGAAUUUGGAUUUCAAAAAUUCUAGCUAUAUUAACUCCUUAACAUAGUAAUAAUACUCAAAUUAGUAGUUUGUAUGUAUUUAACCUGAUGGAAAAGAUGUUUUGAAAAUUUUACUUAGCCAUGGUAUUUUGAUCCCCGCCAAUGCGGUAUAUUGAACCCCCCACUAUAGACCUCUCAUUUUAAAAAAUCUAGCCGUUAUAACUCUUGAACAUAGUAAUUAUAUUCCAAUAAGCAGUUUGUAUGUAUUUUACUUGCUUGAAAAGAUGUUUUGAAAAUUUUACUUAGCCAUGGUAUUUUGACCCCCUGGGGUAUAUUUAACCCCUACUAUAGACCUCUCAUUUCAAAAAUUCUAGCUAUACUAAAUCCUUAACAUAGAAAUAAUACUCCAAUAAGUAGGUUGUAUGUAGUUAACAUGAUGAAAAAGAUGUUUUGAAAAUUUUACUUUGCCAUUGUAUAUUGACCCCCUACCAUGGUAUUUUGAACCCCCUACUAUAGAAUUUGGAUUUCAAAUAAUCUAGCUGUUAUUGGAAUAUACUUACUAUGUUAAAGAGUUAUAACAGCUAGAUUAUUUGAAAUCCAAAUUCUGUAGAUAACUCUUUAACAUAGUAAUAACUCUUUAACAUAGUAAUUAUAUUCCAAUAUGUAGUUUGUAUGUAUUUUACUUGCUUGAAAAGAUGUUUUGAAAAUUUUACUUUGCCAUGGUAUUUUGACCCCCUGCGGUAUAUUGAACCCCCUACUAUAGACCUCUCAUUUCAAAAAUUCUAGCUAUUCUAACUCUUUAACAUAGUAAAAAUACUCCAAUAAGUAUAACAUAGUGAUAAUACUCCAAUAAGUAGUUUGUAUGUAUUUAACAUGAUGGAAAAGAUAUUUUGAAAAUUAUACUUUACCAUUGUAUUUUGACAUUUACCAUGGUAUAUUGAACUACUAUAGACCUUGGAUUUCAAAAAAUCUAGCUGUUAUAACUAUUUAACAUAGUAAUUGUAUUCCAAUAAGUAGUUUGUAUGCAUUUUACUUGCUUGAAAAGAUGUUUUGAAAAUUUUACUUAGCCAUGGUAGUUUUACCCCCUCCCCUUUUGUGAUAUAUUGAAUCCCCAACUUUAGAACUCUCAUUUCAAAAAUUCUAGCUAUACUUAAUCCUUAACAUUGAUAAUACUCCAAUAAAACUACAGAUAUAAUGAAUAAUAGAGAUGUGCGGUUUUGUACAUAUACCAGGGGGAAACUUGAUGCAAAGCAUUAUUAUUUACUGUUUUAUUGCGUUUAAUAGAAAAAGAGGGUUUAAUAGAAAAAGGGUACUUUUUGCAAAUAAACCAAGAUUUUUAUAGAAAAUCUACAGCCUUUAAAAGCUAUUUUGAAAAUUUUACUGUGCCAUGGUAUUUUGACCCCCUCUCAUGGUAUGUUGAACCCCCCUACUAUAGACCUUUGAUUUCAAGAACUCUAGCUGUUAUAACUCUUUACAAUGACUUGACUGUUAGUGUUGCUCUCCACAAAUUGCAACUCAUUCAAAAUUUUGACCAAAUUGCAAUUUGUUUUAUUAAACCAAAUUGUUCAACUGGUCAGAAUAUUGAACAAAUUGUUCAGUCAAAAUCCUAUAAGACUAACUCCACUUAAAUGAUGUUGUGACAAAAUUAGUUUAUCAGUUUGUAUAGUUAUAUUAUAGUCAUUUCCAUGCUGAAGAGGAACUGUUUAUUUUGAAUUGCUAUAAUAGUUAUCAAAGGUACCAGUAUUAUAAUUGU